AUGAACGCUAGCUACAGGCUUAACACAUGCAAGUCGAGGGGCAGCAUGGUCUUAGCUUGCUAAGGCCGAUGGCGACCGGCGCACGGGUGAGUAACACGUAUCCAACCUGCCGUCUACUCUUGGACAGCCUUCUGAAAGGAAGAUUAAUACAAGAUGGCAUCAUGAGUCCGCAUGUUCACAUGAUUAAAGGUAUUCCGGUAGACGAUGGGGAUGCGUUCCAUUAGAUAGUAGGCGGGGUAACGGCCCACCUAGUCUUCGAUGGAUAGGGGGUUCUGAGAGGAAGGUCCCCCACAUUGGAACUGAGACACGGUCCAAACUCCUACGGGAGGCAGCAGUGAGGAAUAUUGGUCAAUGGGCGAGAGCCUGAACCAGCCAAGUAGCGUGAAGGAUGACUGCCCUAUGGGUUGUAAACUUCUUUAUAAAGGAAUAAAGUCGGGUAUGUAUACCCGUUUGCAUGUACUUUAUGAAUAAGGAUCGGCUAACUCCGUG
rnacentral:rRNA from 1 species